rnacentral:lncRNA from 1 species
AUGGCACCCACAGCGCCGCCGUCCCACGGCGCAGCCACGAGGCUGCAGUGCUGGGGGGCAGCGAUGGUGGGAGCUGAGCAGCACCGCAUCCACUGCCCCCCCCGGCGCAGCCAUCACCGUGGCGCAGCCGCCGUCCUCCAUCACCGACCGCCUCUGUUGGAUGAUUUAAGGACCUCCUCACGGAGCUGUGCUCACAACACACAUCUGACGCCGCGGCGCCGGGGGGCUCCGGCCGUCUGUCCCCCUCCUCCGCCACGGGCUGGAGGCACCGCAGGGAUCCUCGGCACUGAGGAGGGCACCGCGCGCCCCGGGAGCCCCUCACAGCAGAAUCCGGGCUUGGGGGGGGCUACCAGCAGCACCCAGAGGUGCCGGGCAUAUGGGGGGGCAGCCCUCCUCAGCCCCACAGGGAUGGGUGACGGUGGGGACGUGAGGGGCGCACGCAGCCCCGUGGAGCAGUGGGAGCCCCCCCAGCCUGAACAGUGGAGACAACAGUCCCAGCUGUGCACCAGAUGUUCUGCAGGCAGCCCCCAGUCAUCACCUCCAUCCCAUCACCCUGCAGCCCCACAACCCCACCGUCAAACAGCCCCACAGCCCUGGCACCCGGUGUGGGAAAGCGCCCGUGGGGCCGCGUGCUGUGCUGGGCUGUGCUGCAGGCGGACAGACACACAGACAGCACUCCUGUGCCACCGCAGGGGGAGGGGAUGGGGCCGUCCAGGUGACACGGGAUGGGCACCGUGGGGAUGCAAAGGCAGAAGCGUCCUGGGGUGCUCCAGCGCUGCACCCACUGUAACGCACAGGACGCCCCACAUGGCCGUGGGGCAGCGCAGCCCCCCAGGACACGGCUGUGCCUCAGUUUCCCCGCAGCUCCCGGAGCAGCACAGCCUGCAGGCACAGCAGCACAGUGACAGCAGCCACAGCCACGGGGUGACACAGCGGAGCUCCCGGGGGAAACCGAGGCAGGGCCGAGCUGUGGGGACACAGCAGUGGGGCACAGCGCCAGGACACGGGCAGCCCCACAGCUCACAGCACCGCGGGCAGCAAAGGGGCACUGCGGGCCUGCGGGAGGGCUGA